GAUACUUGGUGUGAAUUGCAGAAUCCCGCGAACCAUCGAGUCUUUGAACGCAAGUUGCGCCCGAAGCCGUCAGGCCGAGGGCACGUCUGCCUGGGCGUCACACGAAGUCGCCACCCCCCGACCGCCCGCCCGCCCCGCGGGGAGGGCGCGGUCGGGCGCGGUGGCGGACGCUGGCCUCCCGCGCGCCGCGCCUCGCGGUUGGCCCAAACGCGAGUCCCCGGCUACGAGCGCCGCGACGAUCGGUGGCCGCACGACCCUCGGUGCAACGUCGCGCGCGCCCGCAUCCGGGUCGCCGCUCACCUCGAGACCCCCCCGACGCGUCGCGCCCCGCGACGCGCUCACGACGCGACCCCAGGUCAGGCGGGGCCACCCGCUGAGUUUAAGC
rnacentral:rRNA from 1 species